GACGAACGCUGGCGGCGUGCUUAACACAUGCAAGUCGAACGGAAAGGCCCCUUUGGGGGUACUCGAGUGGCGAACGGGUGAGUAACACGUGAGUAACCUGCCCUUGACUUCGGGAUAACUUCAGGAAACUGGGGCUAAUACCGGAUAGGAAUCCUUGCUGCAUGGUGGGGGUUGGAAAGCUUCGGCGGUUUUGGAUGGACUCGCGGCUUAUCAGCUUGUUGGUGGGGUAGUGGCUUACCAAGGCUUUGACGGGUAGCCGGCCUGAGAGGGCGACCGGCCACAUUGGGACUGAGAUACGGCCCAGACUCCUACGGGAGGCAGCAGUGGGGAAUAUUGCACAGUGGGCGGAAGCCUGAUGCAGCAACGCCGCGUGCGGGAUGACGGCCUUCGGGUUGUAAACCGCUUUCAGCAGGGGCGAAGCUUGUGGUGACGGUACCUGCAGAAGAAGCACCGGCUAACUACGUG
rnacentral:rRNA from 1 species